rnacentral:rRNA from 1 species
CAGAGGGUGCAAGCGUUGUUCGGAAUUAUUGGGCGUAAAGCGCGUGUAGGCGGCUUGGCAAGUCAGAUGUGAAAGCCCUCGGCUUAACCGAGGAAGUGCGUCUGAAACUGCUGAGCUUGAGUGUCGGAGAGGAUGGCGGAAUUCCGCAAGUAGAGGUGAAAUUCGUAGAUAUGCGGAGGAACACCGGUGGCGAAGGCGGCCAUCUGGACGACUACUGACGCUGAGACGCGAAAGCGUGGGGAGCAAACAGGAUUAGAUAUCCUGGUAGUCCACGCUGUAAACGAUGAGAACUAGGUGUCGUGGGUGUUGACCCCCGCGGUGCCGUAGCUAACGCAUUAAGUUCUCCGCCUGGGAAGUACGGCCGCAAGGCUA